UACGGAGGGUGCAAGCGUUGCUCGGAAUUAUUGGGCGUAAAGCGCACGCAGGCGGCAGGGUAAGUCAGUUGUGAAACUCCCGGGCUUAACUUGGGAACUGCAGCUGAUACUGUCCUGCUUGAGUACGGAAGAGGGGAGCGGAAUUCCCAGUGUAGAGGUGAAAUUCGUAGAUAUUGGGAGGAACACCGGUGGCGAAAGCGGCUCCCUGGUCCGAUACUGACGCUCAUGUGCGAAAGCGUGGGGAGCAAACAGG
rnacentral:rRNA from 1 species